rnacentral:rRNA from 1 species
GAUGAACGCUAGCUACAGGCUUAACACAUGCAAGUCGAGGGGAACGAUAUUGGAAGCUUGCUUCCGAUAGGCGUCGACCGGCGCACGGGUGAGUAACGCGUAUCCAACCUGCCCACCACUUGGGGAUAACCCUUUGCGGAAAAGUAAGACUAAAUACCCAAUGACCGUCUCUAGAAGACUAUCUGAAAGUAGAUUAAAGAUUUAUCGGUGAUGGAUGGGGAUGCGUCUGAUUAGCUUGUUGGCGGGGUAACGGCCACCAAGGCGACGAUCAGUAGGGUUCUGAGAGGAACGGUCCCCCACAUUGGAACUGAGACACGGUCCAAACUCCUACGGGAGGCAGCAGUGAGGAAUAUUGGUCAAAUGGACGAGAGUCUGAACCAGCCAAGUAGCGUGC